rnacentral:lncRNA from 1 species
UGAUUCUUUCCUUUUAAAAAUGACUGCUUAUUACCGUUUGACUAUGAUUCUUUAGUUAAAUGGGAGUCCGUAUACUUGAUUGAUUAUGAUUGAUAUCAGUUCCUUAAAUAGGGAUUGACACUUUAUUUGUUUACUCGUAUUAGUACUAUAAAUACUCCUCACUUAUUUGUUUGAAAGACACAACAGACAUUGCUCUCACAAUCUAAAACUCUCUCAUUCUCUUCUUUGAACCCUCAACCGGCUAACAGCCAAGAAUGAGUAACUUGAUUGGUUACCUUACACUAUUGGGCUCUAUUUGUUUGUCUACAUUGGGUAUCCUAUUUCUCGCAACUGGUAUGUCACCUAUUUGAGAUACAAUUUCCAAAACAACAUGUUCCUAUUAAUUUUGCAAUUCAUAUUAUUUCUUGUGUGCUUAUAUCUAUGGUUUUGUUGCUAUCUUUUCCACUAGCAUGUUACUUACUAGUAUACUAGUUUAACUUAGCACGUUUUUCCCGUAUUCCUCUUUCCCUGUCUCAAUGCAUGUUCUUCUUUUAUGUGCACCACUGCUUGGCUACUUGCUUGACCUAAAAUCUGUGUUUGAAGCUAAGUGUGUUAGAAUUUGAUGCAGUAAGAAAUUGAACCCUUAGCUUACAAUCAUGUCUGAUUAUUUUCCUCCAGCAUGUUGUCUUUAUGUCUGUAUGUUCACUUUACUUAUUUGUUCCCCUUUCUCUUCCCCUGUUUGUGUGAUGUCCUGAUGUUCUAAAAUUGAUCAGUAUCUGUAUGUCUGUAGUUCACUUUACUUAUUUGCUCCCCUUCCCCUUCCCCUGUUUGUAUGAUGCCCUGAUGUUCUAAAACUGGUCAGUCUAAAAUAUUUUCAACAGAACCUUUCAAUUGUUUCUUCAAACUGCCCUAACUUUUCAAUUUUUCCAACUAUUUUUUUCAAAUUGUCUCUCAACUGUUUUCAACUCUCUCAAUUACAAUCUCAUUCUUAGAGCUUUAAGGUCUUCCCCCUUAGUGUAAGCACUGCCAUAGGAGCCUUGAGCACCCAUGGAACUCUGAUCUACAAGGUUGGCACUUUCAAUGUUUGCGCUUGUCUAAUUGAGACAUUUUUGGGUGCUUGGUAUUGGCUAGGGCUUCAAACGAACCCUUAGGGAUCUUUGCCACACCCAAGCCUUGGUAAUGGCUGUGAAACUCAAAAAGAGUGAGGUUGGAGAUGCUUGGGCCUGGCUGAAGG